ACUCCAAGUACCAUAAUCACUAUAGCGUGUUUGACAUUUUACCUGGGGUCCACUGGGGUGCUGUAGAAUUUUACAUAUUCUAUGUUCCUUAUCAUAUUAGCUAUGGAUGUGUAAUGGGUUAAAAAGAACAGAUGGUAAUUUGCUAUGCUGUACCAUGAGAAGUCUGGAUGUUGGUGUAUAAUGAGUGGAUUCAGGGUUCCAGAGUCUUCAUAUGUGUCCUUAUAUGGCCAGAGCUUACCUUCUCUCCUCCCUACCGGUGCAUGGCUAUACUCAUUCGGUGAGAGUUGGC